rnacentral:rRNA from 1 species
GACGAACGCUGGCGGCGUGCUUAACACAUGCAAGUCGAACGGAAAGGCCCUGCUUGCAGGGUACUCGAGUGGCGAACGGGUGAGUAACACGUGGGUGAUCUGCCCUGCACUUCGGGAUAAGCCUGGGAAACUGGGUCUAAUACCGGAUAGGAGCCAUUUUUAGUGUGAUGGUUGGAAAGUUUUUUCGGUGUAGGAUGAGCUCGCGGCCUAUCAGCUUGUUGGUGGGGUAAUGGCCUACCAAGGCGGCGACGGGUAGCCGGCCUGGGAGGGUGGACGGCCACAGUGGGACUGAGAUACGGCCCAGACGCCUACGGGAGGCAGCAGUGGGGAAUAUUGCACAAGGGGCGCAAGCCUGAUGCAGCGACGCCGCGUGGGGGAUGACGGCCUUCGGGUUGUAAACUCCUUUCGCUAGGGACGAAGCUUUUUGUGACGGUACCUAGAGAAGAAGCACCGGCUAACUACGUG